rnacentral:rRNA from 1 species
UACGGGGGGAGCAAGCGUUGUUCGGAUUUACUGGGCGUAAAGGGCGCGUAGGCGGCCAGCUCAAGUCAGUUGUGAAAUCUCCGGGCUUAACUCGGAAAGGUCAACUGAUACUGUGCGGCUAGAGUGCGGAAGGGGCAACUGGAAUUCUCGGUGUAGCGGUGAAAUGCGUAGAUAUCGAGAGGAACACCUGCGGCGAAGGCGGGUUGCUGGGCUGACACUGACGCUGAGUGCGCGAAAGCCAGGGGAGCGAACGGG